CUGACAAAGUGUCUCCGCCCCCGAGGCUGCUCAUCCAGGAGGAGAUUUGCUCUGAGAUCUGUCAAUCAAAGGAGCAGUUCACCCAGUCAUUGGGUGGACUGUCAGAGGUCCCGCCCACCUCUGCUUUCUUCACCAAUGCCUGCUGCUGUCAGGCGUCACCUGAGCACACGGGGUUAACGAUGAAGGCCUUUCUCCUCCUCAUCUUCUCCGUCUUCAUCUUCUCAACUCUUUACUCGAGGUGUUUGUGGUGGAGCACGACUGUGACUUCAACCGUGUUCAUGACGAUCAUAACUUUUAUGUUCCUGACGAAGUCGGGGCCGAUGGGCGAGUGGAGGAGGGCGAAGACGGAGGACAUCACAUCCAGAAAUGAGUAAACGAAGAAACGGAAGAUAAUUUCAAACUGGAGGAGAGAAAGAGGAGAAGGUCUGAUGGAAACUCUGUCAAAAUAUGUAUCCUGUCACUAAAUGUUUGCAUGUGAGUUGCUCUUAAAAGACCAAGUUAUUCUGAGCUCCGGAAAACAUUUUAUAGCAACAACUGUUUGAAAAAUCGCUGGAAAAAUCAGUGUGAUGUUGUUUAGUAUUUUACAUCAAGUCCUCCCUGAAGGUCUCUGAAUAUUAAAGUCAGGUGGACGACUGAGAGAAAAGUCCAAGUGAACAUGAAACUGUAAAAAAUUGGAAACGAUGAGCCGAGAGAAGCUGAAUCAGUUUGACAGUUUGUUUCUGAUAAAAUGCUGAAGGAACUCGAUCAACAUGGCGACACGAGUCACUGUAGUUUAGAUGGGAGAUAAAUAAUAAUCAUCCAAAUGUCCCUGAUGUAUUUUUAAAAGACUGUAAACACAUAUUCUGUUGAUCUCAGCUGAACUUGGCUUGUUUGGGUCCAAAGUGACAAAACCUCAGAUGUUCAGCGUCUGAGAACAAAUUCUGCAGCAAAAGAAAAGAAGAGAGAAACAACAGUGAGCGUCGCUGAGAAGCUUCACGUCUAUUUAAAAAAACACAAACGCACAAAACGUUCUAGUUUAUCUACCUGGAAUUUAUAUCUGCAGGAAACUGAAUUGAGUUUUAUUCCAAAAUGACAAUAUAAAUAAUUAAUAAUAAAGAAACAAUCUCGUGCCUUUUAAAAAAAGUUCCACAUUGAAAUCUGGAAUUUAAAGCAACACUGUGUAACUGUUACUGAGCAACAGCGCCCCCUGCAGCCACACAUGGUGAUUAGUUCUGUUGGGCUCUGUGUGCGAGUGAUGAGGGUUAGUGAACAUUCUCCAUAUUUACACUCAAUCAUCAAACUCACUUUAAUCAAGCUGAUGGUUGAAGGUAAAACAAAGUGAAGCAGUGAAUAGAGGAGGGCCCGAGGACAGAGCCUUGUGGAACACCUAUUCUAAAUGUCAUAGCACCUGAUCUCUGAAUCACUGCCUGUUUGUGUCAGGUAUGUGGGUCAGGGACCAUUCUCCAUAUUCACGGGCACUGAACCAUCGAACUCACUUUAAUCAAGCUGCUGCUUUAAAGAGUUAAAGUUGCAUCGUGUUGCUUUAAAACUGCAUCAGGUCGGAUUUUUGUGUGAAACUGAAAAUUCAGAGUUAACUUUGGACAAAAAUCCUUUUAUAGUUUUACUGGUAGCAGCUAACUAGCAUCAACACUCCAGUUACUCUCCCUCACUGUUGUGAAUUCACACUGAUCAGGUGUUAAAAUCUUAAAUGUGAUGUGAUGUGUAUUCGUGUGUUUAUUCACUCAAAGUGCCAAAUCGGUUGAAAUCGGACAAUUCAGGAAAUGUUACAUCACCUAUAUCAAUGUUUAAACAUCUAUAUAAUGAUAUUUUUACUAAUGCUGUGCAUGAAUUUGCAUAUCUUUGCAUUUAAAGCUGCAAAUGUUUUUAUAUGAAUGAUGGAUCCGCUCCACUAAACCUUUAGCUUCUUUCAGCUCCUGGUUUUAGUUUUACAGCCAAAACUAUGAGUCCGGAGUUUUUCUGAGGAGGUGGAGACUAAAAACGGAGCUAAAAGAGCGGGAACACUGGGCAUGAACCCAGUUCUGUCACUGCCUGAUGUGACAAACAUGCAACUGUUUCAUGUUGUUUCUUUUAUCUGCUGCCCCCUGGUGGCCAACAGUCAAUUCAUGCAGCUUUAAAUGAUCAAAGUUGAAUGUUUUUUUUCUAUUCAACACUUUUUGAAGUUUCCUGAAAGACAUUUAAUAUGAAUUUUGAUCUGAUUGUUGUUACUGUACAUGUUGUUAAUGAUCCUGUACAUAAUGUGAAAUGUGAUUCUCUUCUUGUGACAGCACUUAUUACAACUGUUCAUUUGAAUUCCCCUCUUCUGUAUCCAUGUAAAGUCUCUGUGCUGAAAACCGUAAACUACAUUUUAAUUUGAAAUUGAAACAAUUCUGAUGUCAGAAAUGACCAAAAUAUUCACUAAUGAAAUCCGACUGCAGUGUUGAUCGCUGUGCUUCAUCAGUAAAUUGUCUAAAUCAGUGAUCACCAACCUUUUCGAGCCCAAGAUCACUUUUUAAUUCCAAACGUAAGCCGAGAGCUAAAACCCUGACAUCUUCCAACAAACCCACUUAGGAGGGUCAUAUUUAUUAUUUUUUGCAAUUUCUGUUGAAGGCUGAAUGUACAAGAAAUAAAUAUACACAAAGAGA